rnacentral:rRNA from 1 species
GUGUCAGCAGCCGCGGUAAUACGAAGGGGGCUAGCGUUGUUCGGAAUUACUGGGCGUAAAGCGUGCGCAGGCGGUUUUACAAGUCAGGGGUGAAAGCCCAGAGCUCAACUCUGGAAAUGCCCUUGAAACUGUUAAGCUCGAGUGCGGGAGAGGUGAGUGGAAUUCCCAGUGUAGAGGUGAAAUUCGUAGAUAUUGGGAAGAACACCGGUGGCGAAGGCGGCUCACUGGCCCGUUUCUGACGCUCAUGCACGAUAGCGUGGGGAUCAAACAGGAUUAGAAACCCCGGUAGUCC